UACGUAGGGUGCAAGCGUUAAUCGGAAUCAUUGGGCGUAAAGAGCGUGUAGGCGGCCCGGUAAGUCCGCUGUGAAAGUCCAGGGCUCAACCCUGGGAUGCCGGUGGAUACUGUCGGGCUCGAGUCCGGAAGAGGAGUGUGGAAUUCCUGGUGUAGCGGUGAAAUGCGCAGAUAUCAGGAGGAACACCAAUGGCGAAGGCAGCACUCUGGGACGUGACUGACGCUGAGACGCGAAAGCGUGGGGAGCAAACAGG
rnacentral:rRNA from 1 species